GAUGAACGCUGGCGGCGUGCCUAAUACAUGCAAGUCGAGCGAACAGACGAGGAGCUUGCUCCUCUGACGUUAGCGGCGGACGGGUGAGUAACACGUGGAUAACCUACCUAUAAGACUGGGAUAACUUCGGGAAACCGGAGCUAAUACCGGAUAACAUGUUGAACCGCAUGGUUCAACAGUGAAAGACGGUUUUGCUGCCACUUAUAGAUGGAUCCGCGCCGCAUUAGCUAGUUGGUAAGGUAACGGCUUACCAAGGCAACGAUGCGUAGCCGACCUGAGAGGGUGAUCGGCCACACUGGAAAUGAGACACGGUCCAGACUCCUACGGGAGGCAGCAGUAGGGAAUCUUCCGCAAUGGGCGAAAGCCUGACGGAGCAACGCCGCGUGAGUGAAGAAGGUCUUCGGAUCGUAAAACUCUGUUAUUAGGGAAGAACAAAUGUGUAAGUAACUAUGCACGUCUUGACGGUACCUAAUCAGAAAGCCACGGCUAACUACGUG
rnacentral:rRNA from 1 species